rnacentral:rRNA from 1 species
GGGUUGUGAGGUUAAGCGACUAAGCGUACACGGUGGAUGCCCUGGCAGUCAGAGGCGAUGAAGGGCGUGCUAAUCUGCGAUAAGCGCCGGUAAGGUGAUAUGAACCGUUAUAACCGGCGAUACCCGAAUGGGGAAACCCAGUGUGACUCGUCACACUAUCAUUAACUGAAUCCAUAGGUUAAUGAGGCGAACCGGGGGAACUGAAACAUCUAAGUACCCCGAGGAAAAGAAAUCAACCGAGAUUCCCCCAGUAGCGGCGAGCGAACGGGGAGGAGCCCAGAGCCUGAAUCAGCAUGUGUGUUAGUGGAAGCGUCUGGAAAGACGCGCGAUACAGGGUGACAGCCCCGUACACAAAAGCGCAUGUGUUGUGAGCUCGAUGAGUAGGGCGGGACACGUGGUAUCCUGUCUGAAUAUGGGGGGACCAUCCUCCAAGGCUAAAUACUCCUGACUGACCGAUAGUGAACCAGUACCGUGAGGGAAAGGCGAAAAGAACCCCGGCGAGGGGAGUGAAAAAGAACCUGAAACCGUGUACGUACAAGCAGUGGGAGCACCCUUUGGGGUGUGACUGCGUACCUUUUGUAUAAUGGGUCAGCGACUUAUAUUCUGUAGCAAGGUUAACCGAAUAGGGGAGCCGGAGGGAAACCGAGUCUUAAUUGGGCGUUAAGUUGCAGGGUAUAGACCCGAAACCCGGUGAUCUAGCCAUGGGCAGGUUGAAGGUUGGGUAACACUAACUGGAGGACCGAACCGACUAAUGUUGAAAAAUUAGCGGAUGACCUGUGGCUGGGGGUGAAAGGCCAAUCAAACCGGGAGAUAGCUGGUUCUCCCCGAAAGCUAUUUAGGUAGCGCCUCGUGAAUUCAUCUCCGGGGGUAGAGCACUGUUUCGGCUAGGGGGCCAUCCCGGCUUACCAACCCGAUGCAAACUGCGAAUACCGGAGAAUGUUAUCACGGGAGACACACGGCGGGUGCUAACGUCCGUCGUGAAGAGGGAAACAACCCAGACCGCCAGCUAAGGUCCCAAAGUCAUGGUUAAGUGGGAAACGAUGUGGGAAGGCCCAGACAGCCAGGAUGUUGGCUUAGAAGCAGCCAUCAUUUAAAGAAAGCGUAAUAGCUCACUGGUCGAGUCGGCCUGCGCGGAAGAUGUAACGGGGCUAAAUCAUGCACCGAAGCUGCGGCAGCGA